UACGAAGGGAGCUAGCGUUGUUCGGAAUCACUGGGCGUAAAGCGCACGUAGGCGGAUUUGCCAGUCAGGGGUGAAAUCCCGGGGCUCAACCUCGGAACUGCCUUUGAUACAGCAAGUCUUGAGUUCGAGAGAGGUGGGUGGAAUUCCUAGUGUAGAGGUGAAAUUCGUAGAUAUUAGGAAGAACACCGGUGGCGAAGGCGGCCCACUGGCUCGACACUGACGCUGAGGUGCGAAAGCGUGGG
rnacentral:rRNA from 1 species